rnacentral:misc_RNA from 1 species
CAAGAAUUUUCCAUUGAUAAAUACCCCAAAACAGAGUAAAGCCUCCCUCCUUUCUUUCGUUCCUUAGGCUGUUCAAAACCAUCACUCCUCGUUUCUCUCUGCACCAUUCACACAGGCCCAAAAAGUGUCUCAUCAUCUUGAGUAGGAAUGGCUGAUAGACACCAGUAUCCAUCUGUUGUGCAAAAGGUGGCUAACCAGGUCUAUCUCAGUUCCAGCCUACCCCAUGAUGUUCAAUGCCGGUAUGGGGGCUUUCAAAGGCCUGUUCUACAUCAGAGGCAGUUUGCAUAUGGAAAUUACUAUAAUGCAGGAUUUCAAUACCCUAAGACACAGGCAUGCCAAGUCUCCCCAGGCCUGUCAUUGGUUGCAUCAACCUCACCACUGCUUGUCCAAGCCCCAUCAGAGAAAGGUUUUGCUGGUUUUGCUAUGGAUUUUCUUAUGGGUGGAGUUUCUGCAGCUGUGUCCAAAACUGCUGCAGCUCCUAUUGAGCGUGUGAAGCUCUUGAUCCAAAACCAAGAUGAGAUGAUCAAGGCUGGUCGACUCUCUGAACCCUAUAAGGGAAUUGGAGAUUGUUUCAGCAGAACAAUGAAAGAUGAGGGAAUUAUGUCAUUGUGGAGAGGGAAUACAGCCAAUGUCAUCCGAUAUUUCCCCACUCAGGCAUUGAACUUCGCAUUCAAAGAUUACUUUAAGAGGCUCUUCAACUUUAGGAAGGACCGUGAUGGCUACUGGAA